GUGGAUGCUAGUCUCAUAGAUUUAGCCAUGCAUGUGUAAGCGAAGCGAUUAGUGAAGCGGCGGAAGGCUCAGUAACGGGCGAGUAUUUAAUCUCUAGAACCGGACAACCUCAGGAAACAGAGGGGAAAACGGAGUAAGAGCAUGUUGUUAGCAUGUGAUGAGAACAACAGUGCAGGAGAGUAAGAAGCCAUCCCAUCAGUUAGUAAGUAGGGUAAGGGCCUAUUUAGACGUAGACGGGUACGGGGGAUUAGGGUUUGAUUCCGGAGAGGGAGCCUGAGAGACGGCUACCAGGUCCAAGGACAGCAGCAGGCGCGAAAAUUACCGAAGCCUCCAAGAGGGCGGUAGUGAAGAGACGUGAAAACAGUGUGUGUAAAAACCACAUGAGUAACUGGAGGUCAAGGCUGGUGCCAGCAGCCGCGG
rnacentral:rRNA from 1 species